rnacentral:sRNA from 1 species
UCUUCAUCUCACUAACAUAUUCCUUAGAGGUGCCAAAAACACAAUAAAGCAGAUACAAUGAUAAAAGAAAUUUGAUUACAAAAACAUUAUUACCAACUCAUUCCCUCCAUUUGUCAGCAUAUGCAAAUGCUUCAUCUUAAAGUACCUCAACCUUCCCUUUAGUGUCUGUAACAACAUAUUUUUCCAGCUUGCUUAUGAUACCCUCAUGCUAACACAAUAAUGUUCUCUACCUCACUCUAUCAUUUGCUUCCCAUUAGGUGAGUUGGGACAGAAGAAGUGGAGAAGCCACAUGGCUCCUCAGGUGCUAAAUGUACAAGUUCUAUUUUGCUAGAUGCAAGUUUCACGGUUUAUCUGUCAACAUGGAAAAAA